rnacentral:rRNA from 1 species
CCUACGGGAGGCAGCAGUGAGGAAUAUUGGUCAAUGGACGAGAGUCUGAACCAGCCAAGUAGCGUGAAGGAUGACUGCCCUAUGGGUUGUAAACUUCUUUUAUAUGGGAAUAAAACGUUCCACGUGUGGGAUUUUGUAUGUACCAUAUGAAUAAGGAUCGGCUAACUCCGUGCCAGCAGCCGCGGUAAUACGGAGGAUCCGAGCGUUAUCCGGAUUUAUUGGGUUUAAAGGGAGCGUAGGUGGAUUGUUAAGUCAGUUGUGAAAGUUUGCGGCUCAACCGUAAAAUUGCAGUUGAAACUGGCAGUCUUGAGUACAGUAGAGGUGGGCGGAAUUCGUGGUGUAGGGGUGAAAUGCUUAGAUAUCACGAAGAACUCCGAUUGCGAAGGCAGUUCACUGGACUGCAACUGACACUGAGGCUCGAAAGUGUGGGUAUCAAACAGGAUUAGAUACCCGUGUAGUC